rnacentral:rRNA from 1 species
GAUGAACGCUGGCGGCGUGCCUAAUACAUGCAAGUCGAGCGAACAGACGAGGAGCUUGCUCCUCUGACGUUAGCGGCGGACGGGUGAGUAACACGUGGAUAACCUACCUAUAAGACUGGGAUAACUUCGGGAAACCGGAGCUAAUACCGGAUAAUAUAUUGAACCGCAUGGUUCAAUAGUGAAAGACGGUUUUGCUGUCACUUAUAGAUGGAUCCGCGCCGCAUUAGCUAGUUGGUAAGGUAACGGCUUACCAAGGCAACGAUGCGUAGCCGACCUGAGAGGGUGAUCGGCCAAACUGGAACUGAGACACGGUCCAGACUCCGACGGGAGGCAGCAGUAGGGAAUCUUCCGCAAUGGGCGAAAGCCUGACGGAGCAACGCCGCGUGAGUGAUGAAGGUCUUCGGAUCGUAAACCUCUGUUAUUAGGGAAGAACAAAUGUGUAAGUAACUAUGCACGUCUUGACGGUACCUAAUCAGAAAGCCACGGCUAACUACGU